rnacentral:snRNA from 1 species
AGCUUUGCGCAGUGGCAGUAUCGUAGCCAAUGAGGUUUAUCCGAGGCGCGAUUAUUGCUAAUUGAAAAAGAAUGAACCACUUGUACACACAUGGAUGAAUCUUACAAUAUGAUGAAUGAAAGAAUCAAAAACGAUU